rnacentral:rRNA from 1 species
AGCAGCCGCGGUAAUUCCAGCUCCAAUAGCGUAUAUUAAAGUUGUUGCAGUUAAAAAGCUCGUAGUUGAAUUUCGGGGCCUGUCCGUCGGUCGGGCUUCACGGUCCGUACUGGUGUGAUGGGUUCCUACCUUCUGAAUAACCGGCAUGCCAUUCAGUUGGUGCGCCGGGGAAGCAGAGCUAUUACCUUGAAAAAAUUAGAGUGCUUAAAGCAGGCUAGUGCUUGAAUAGAUUAGCAUGGAAUAAUAAAAUAGGACGGCAUGGUUCUAUUUUGUUGGUUUCUAGGAUCACCGUAAUGAUUAAUAGGGAUAGUUGGGGGCAUUAGUAUUCAAUUGUCAGAGGUGAAAUUCUUGGAUUUAUUGAAGACUAACUUCUGCGAAAGCAUUUGCCAAGGAUGUUUUCAUUAAUCAAGAACGAAAGUUAGGGGAUCGAAGACGAUCAGAUACCGUCGUAGUCUUAACCAUAAACUAUGCCGACUAGGGAUCGGACGAUGUUAAUUUUUAAUGACUCGUUCGGCGCCUU